UCCUCGCCCUCUCAUCCGGUCGUUGACCCAAUCUCCACUGCUCCCUCCCUGCCUCUCUCGCUCUUUUCCUUCCCCAUCUGUUCAACCAUCCACACGCAUCCGCCGUCGCACUUCGCAGCGCCAGCAUCCGGUCAGUGGCUGUGUAGAUCUGGGCCUCCAAGUGCGGAUCCAAUCCUACCUUCUCUGGAUUUGUUGUCCUCUCUCUCAAGUGGGCUUCGUCUUGCCGCCGUUCUCCUCCCCGAGCUCUUCAGCGCCGUGGACAGGGAGGGCACGACCUGCAGCGUGUGGAAGAAGAGGAGGAUGGGGCGGGUUCUUGGAAAAUGACCAGAGUCGUUUCCAGGGCGGAUUUCAACACGAUUUUGCACCGUCUAUCGCAGAUCAUCUCCAAGAAAAAGAACCGUGGCAAUAUAUGUCUUUACGACUUCCAUGGAACGAACAUAGGUGUUCGGACAAAAACAUAUCAAAAUGUUAUCUCCCAAAACACUUUUCUGUGCAAAAGGAGGAGCUAAACAUGUCUACACGGUCGAAUGUUCCUAGAUGGCAGACAUGGUAAAGAAAUUUGUGAAAUCAAAUGGAUAUUUUGAUGGU